rnacentral:rRNA from 1 species
CCCCGCAAGGGGGGAAAGCGGCGAAAGGGAGAGUAACGCGUGGGUACCUGCCCCUUGGUCCGGAAUAGCUGCGGGAAACUGCAGGUAAUGCCGGAUAACAUCCUCGGAUCAAAGGUGUGAUUCCGCCGAGGGAGGGGCCCGCGUUCUAUUAGCUAGUUGGUAGGGUAAUGGCCUACCAAGGCGACGAUGGAUACCGGGUGUGAGAGCAUGACCCGGCUCACUGGGACUGAGACACUGCCCAGACACCUACGGGUGGCUGCAGUCGAGAAUCUUCGGCAAUGGGCGCAAGCCUGACCGAGCGACGCCGCGUGCGGGAUGAAGGCCUUCGGGUUGUAAACCGCUGUCAGUGGGGAGGAAAUGCCAUGGGGUUCUCUCCAUGGUUUGACCUAUCCGCAGAGGAAGGACGGGCUAAGUUCGUGCCAGCAGCCGCGGUAAGACGAACCGUCCAAACGUUAUUCGGAAUUAUUGGGCUUAAAGGGUGCGUAGGCUGUGCAGUAAGUUGGGUGUGAAAUCCCUCGGCUCAACCGAGGAACUGCGCCGAAUACUGCUGUGCUAGAGGAAGAUAGGGGUAAGCGGAACUGAUGGUGGAGCGGUGAAAUGCGUUGAUAUCAUCAGGAACACCGGUGGCGAAGGCGGCUUACUGGAUCUUUUCUGACGCUGAUGCACGAAAGCUAGGGGAGCGAACGGGAUUAGAUACCCCGGUAGUCCUAGCUGUAAACGAUGAGCACUUGGUCGGAGGCUCCUCCAUAGGCUUCUGGCC